UGAAUACGAGACGCUAAGGCGUCGAAGUAGUGUAUGUCAUACUUCCAAGAAAAGCUUGCACUGUCAUAGAUAAAAAACGCCUGUACCAUAACCGACACAGGUGGGUAGGUAGAGUAUACUAAGGGGCGCGAGAUAACUCUCUCUAAGGAACUCGGCAAAAUAACUCCGUAACUUCGGGAGAAGGAGUGCCUUAUUCGUAAGGUUGCAAUAACAAGAUCCAAGCAACUGUUUAUCAAAAACACAGGUCUCCGCUAAGUCGUAAGACGAUGUAUGGGGGCUGACGCCUGCCCAGUGCCAGAAGGUUAAAGAAGUUGGUUAGCAAUUGCGAAGCUGAUAACUGAAGCCCUGGUGAACGGCGGCCGUAACAAUAACGGUCCUAAGGUAGCGAAAUUCCUUGUCGGGUAAGUUCCGACCCGCACGAAAGGCGUAAUGAUUUGGAUACUGUCUCGGAGAGGGGCUCGGUGAAAUAGACUUGUCUGUGAAGAUGCGGACUACCUGCACCAGGACAGAAAGACCCUAUGAAGCUUUACUGUAACUUGAAAUUGAAAUUGGACUUUAUUCGCGCAGUAUAGGUGGGAGGCGUUGAUUAUAAUCUUGUGGGAUUAUUGGAGCCAUCAGUGAGAUACCACUCUUGUAAUGUUAGAUUUCUAACUUUGAAUCAUUAUCUGGUCAAAGAACAGUUUCAGGCGGGCAGUUUGACUGGGGCGGUCGCCUCCUAAACGGUAACGGAGGCGUACAAAGGUUUCCUCUGAACGGUUAGAAAUCGUAUCUAGAGUGUAAAGGCAUAAGGAAGCUUGACUGUGAGACCUACAAGUCGAGCAGGGACGAAAGUCGGUCUUAGUGAUCUGACGGUACUGAGUGGAAAGGCCGUCACUCAACGGAUAAAAGUUACUCUAAGGAUAACAGGCUGAUCUCCCCCAAGAGUUCACAUCGACGGGGAGGUUUGGCACCUCGAUGUCGGCUCAUCGCAUCCUGGGGCGGUAGUACGUCCCAAGGGUUGGGCUGUUCGCCCAUGAAAGCGGUACGCGAGCUGGGUUCAGAACGUCGUGAGACAGUCCGGUCCAUAUCCGGUGUAGGCGUUAGAAUAUUGAGAGGAGCCCUCUUUAGUACGAGAGGACCGAGAAGGACAUACCUCUGGUGUACCAAUUAUCGUGCCAACGGUAAACGCUGGGUAGCUAUGUAUGGAGUGGAUAACCGCUGAAAGCAUCUAAGUGGGAAGCCCACCUCAAGAUAAG
rnacentral:rRNA from 1 species